UAAAAAUAUCACAUCUUAAUUAAUACAACUUCAUUCUGUCUGGCCUCCCCCUCUGCUAACUAUACUAUUUUCUAUCCAUUAUGAAAUUCUUUGCUAGACAUUGUACCUCACUGAACAUUUUGUUUCCCACUCUGUCAGCCUCUCGUUUGGCUCCCUAUUAGUUCCAGAAUUAUAUUUGAAGGCCUAAACCGUGCCUCCAAGCUCUCAAGAACAUUUCACCCUCUAUACGUUUCUUCUAUUAUCCCAAAAUACUCUCCAAAUUACCCUCUUGGUUCUGACCAGG